rnacentral:lncRNA from 1 species
GCGCGAGAACUCCUCCCUUCACGGUCCCCAUUUGUCUCCACGCCAUGCUGUCCAUGGGAGCAAGCUACGGGCAUCUCCAUAUCCAGCAAGAGCAGUACAGGCAAAAGAUGAGGAGAAAGGAAGAGGAGAAGAAGGCCAAGGAAGAGCAGCAGACGAAGAAGAAGGGUGGGUGCAAGGCGAAAGUCCAUCCUAACGGCUCAUCGGAAAGCCAAGCCAAGGCAUCGCUGGGUGAGGUGUGUAAUCCUUGAAGGGGGUGGUAGUUGAUGUAGCCAUGGAGUUGAGAUGUUGUGUGCAGUGUUGUACGUGUCUUAGGGUUUCUUAGUAUCGUAUUUCCUGCUCGGUCAUCGAUUAUCUCUUGUGUUUCUAUCAUGUGAGACAAAAAAAAUCUAUCAAAAGAUUGAGAACAAUCUAAUGAAUUACUAAAAAUUAUAUAUUUAUUGAAUUAAUUCAAGGAUGGCAUGGUGGGCCCAAUUCAUCAAUCAUUUCCUUUUGAACCCAUCCGCCGGCAUCCC